rnacentral:rRNA from 1 species
GUCUAUGGCCAUGCCACUCUGAACAUGCCAGAUCUCGUCUGAUCUUGGAAACUAAGCAGGAUUGGACCUGGUUAGUACUUGGAUGGGAGACCACCUAGGAAAACCAGGUGCUAUAGGUG